AGAGUUUGUUCCUGGCUCAGGAUGAACGCUAGCGGCAGGCUUAACACAUGCAAGUCGAGGGGCAGCGGGGAGGAAGCUUGCUUUCUCCGCCGGCGACCGGCGCACGGGUGAGUAACACGUAUGCAACCUGCCCCUGUCAGGGGGACAACCCGCCGAAAGGCGGGCUAAACCCGCGUACAUGCCACCGGGGCAUCCCGGAGGCAGGAAAGGCUUCGGCCGGACAGGGAUGGGCAUGCGGCGCAUUAGGCAGUAGGCGGGGUAACGGCCCACCUAACCGACGAUGCGUAGGGGUUCUGAGAGGAAGGUCCCCCACACUGGUACUGAGACACGGACCAGACUCCUACGGGAGGCAGCAGUGAGGAAUAUUGGUCAAUGGUCGGGAGACUGAACCAGCCAAGCCGCGUGAGGGAGGAAGGUACAGAGUAUCGUAAACCUCUUUUGUCAGGGAACAAAGGCGGGGACGUGUCCCCGGAUGAGUGUACCUGAAGAAAAAGCAUCGGCUAACUCCGUGCCAGCAGCCGCGGUAAUACGGAGGAUGCGAGCGUUAUCCGGAUUUAUUGGGUUUAAAGGGUGCGCAGGCGGUCUGUUAAGUCAGCGGUCAAAGCCCGGGGCUCAACCCCGGCCCGCCGUUGAAACUGGCAGUCUCGAGUUGGAGAGAAGUAUGCGGAAUGCGCGGUGUAGCGGUGAAAUGCAUAGAUAUCGCGCAGAACUCCGAUUGCGAAGGCAGCAUGCCGGCUCCACACUGACGCUGAGGCACGAAAGCGUGGGUAUCGAACAGGAUUAGAUACCCUGGUAGUCCACGCAGUAAACGAUGAAUGCUGGCUGUCCGGGGGGACUGACCCCUGGGUGGCGAAGCGAAAGCGAUAAGCAUUCCACCUGGGGAGUACGCCGGCAACGGUGAAACUCGAAGGAAUUGACGGGGGCCCGCACAAGCGGAGGAACAUGUGGUUUAAUUCGAUGAUACGCGAGGAACCUUACCCGGGCUCAAACGGGGAGUGACUCAGGCAGAGACGCCUGUUUCCCACGGGACACUCCCCGAGGUGCUGCAUGGUUGUCGUCAGCUCGUGCCGUGAGGUGUCGGCUUAAGUGCCAUAACGAGCGCAACCCCCGCGUGCAGUUGCUAACAGAUAACGCUGAGGACUCUGCACGGACUGCCGGCGCAAGCCGCGAGGAAGGCGGGGAUGACGUCAAAUCAGCACGGCCCUUACGUCCGGGGCGACACGCGUGUUACAAUGGGUGGUACAGCGGGAAGCCAGGCGGCGACGCCGAGCGGAACCCGAAAUCCACUCUCAGUUCGGAUCGGAGUCUGCAACCCGACUCCGUGAAGCUGGAUUCGCUAGUAAUCGCGCAUCAGCCAUGGCGCGGUGAAUACGUUCCCGGGCCUUGCACUCACCGCCCGUCA
rnacentral:rRNA from 1 species